ensembl:snRNA U6 U6 spliceosomal RNA
GUUCUCACCUCAGCAGGAUAUACACUAAAAUUGAAACAAUACAGAGAAUACUGGCAUGGCCCCUAUGCAAGGAUGACACACAAAUUCAUGAAGUGUUCCAUAUAUAA